UACACAACUGUUAAAUGAGUGAAUGGUAGCAAGAAUUAAUGAAUUAUUACAAUUCUGAGCCUUUCCUCAGCAAUUUAAAAUGCACUUUUGCUAGGCAAAUAUUCAUAGCAUUGAUGGGAACCCCAAGAUUUCAUCUGCUAUACUCUAAACCUGCCUUCUAAAUCAAAAAUCAUUGUAGAUAUAUCAAAUGUAAAAUAUGUUAAAUCCACAAGAUAAAUCCAAGACUUCUAUAGAGAAGGAAAUUCCCCACCUGUCUCCUACUAAUCUAUCUAUUAUCUAUCUAUGUAUCUAUGUAUCUGUCUAUCUAUCUGUCUAUUUAAUUGAUCAGUGGAAGAUGAACAUAUUUGCCUAGCACAACAUGAGAUGCAUAGCAGAUACUCAAUACCUGUGGACUGACUGAUUUGGGUUAUCAUUGACACACACAGAAAUUAGGCUAAGUCAAAUUGUGAAUUAGUUUUAUGAUUUAUAAAUGAGCAAUGAGCCUGUCUUAGGCACAUACCAUUGCAAAAAUAAACAAUUUAAAUAAAUUAGGCACCAUCAAAUUCUCUGACCCUUGCCACAUCUUGACACAAAGCCUACUUGUUUUUCAUCUGGACUGUCAGACAGGCAAUGUGGAAAGGGGUGUUCUCAGGGUUUGCCUUGCUUGCACACCAAAUUAUCUGCCUAAGUGAAAAGAAGUACGUGUAAGGUCUUAUCAAAGGGAUUACACUUCGGAAACAGUUUUCCCUGCAGCUCUUUCCCUAAAGUGAGCAGCCCUAUUCUAGGAUCUAACCAGUGGAGUCUCUGCUCCCAGGCUGCCCUCCCUGAGCCGUUAGCGACGGCACAGAACCCGUGAAUGAGGAACUGGUGUGCAAUGAACAGCAUAUGCUGGUAACAGCUGUCUUUUAUUACACAUUAUCUAAUAUGAGAAAUCUAGGUUUAGCAAUUUGGCAGGCCUGCAAACUCCACAGUCAGUUAUGACAGCUGAGUACACAAGUCCCCUUAACCCCUUGCAAGCCACUAACAUAAAGAUGCCUGGGGCUGAGUUGAUGAUAUCUCUUCUUUUGUUUUUAGUCAGACGACUUCAUGAUCAAGCAUUGAUAUUCAAGGCAUCAUGUUUCCUGCUAUCCAGUGAUUCACAAUGUCCCUUUUUAGCGGGAAACCAAGACUACUUCAUCUGUCAGUUUGCAAAAAAUCGUGAUAAUCUGCAGUGCAGCCAGAUAGGCUGCCUGGCUCAAAGGAGCUGAAAGGUCAAUACUGUGGCCACUUCUGUUGUUAAGUAAGAUUGUCACUUCCUGGUCCCCACUCCGUGUACGCAUUUCCUGACAGUGUUGGGGAAGGCGGAAGAGAUACUUAUUCAGAGGUGAGGUUUUCUUCAAUUUUGUUGUUUGUUUCCAAAGUCCCCAAAUCAUGUCCUCUUCUUCCCUCCCAGUCCCCUGCCUCACUCUCCCCAGUUCUUUCAUGAAUACAGCUUUUUUUCUUUUCCGUCUACAUCAGGAUUCUUAGGAUAGCAGGGCUGCACAGAUGAUCCUAAGACACAGCAAAAUCAAGGAGCUGAACUCCAUUGCUUAACUUGUAAGUGCCUUUAAGGAACCUAAAGCAGGUUGCAGCUUCCCGGGGAAGUCUCAUUGUGAGCUCAGGACCUUCUUUUCCCAGAAAAAUUGUUGGGGAUUGACUCCUGGCACGCCACAAUAUGGAUUAGAGAAUGCUUUUCAAAUUCUUUUUGGUGAAAUAAACACAGUUUUCUACCUAAAAGUACUCAUUAAAUUAGCAAAAUACCUUAUUGUAGUUAGGAGCACUUAGGAGUUUGGGUAACAGAUGGGUAUAUGACCAGAAAUAAUGUGAACGCUCCUGAAGGGCAGAUUCCAUCCCAGAAAUACAUGCAUGACAGACUUGAACACAAUAUUCUGUACCUGAACUUUUAAGUAUUAUUACCCUUCCAGAAAUUGUCUAUUUAGUAAGACAGUUAACCCUUGAACCACAUGAGUUUGAACUGUGCAGUUCCACUUAUAUGGAUUUUUUUUUCAGUAAAUACUGUAAAUGUAUUUUCUCUUCCUUAAGAUUCUCUUAAUAUUUUCUUUCCUCUAGCUUACUUUAGUAUAAGAAUAUAGUACAUAAUACAUAGAACAUAGAACAAAAUAUGUGUUAAUUGACUGAUUAUGUUAUCAUUAAGGCUACCAAUCAACAGUAGGCUACUAGUAGUUGUUUUGGAGGAAUCAAAAUUUAUCCAUGGAUUUUUGACUGCAUGGAGUGUCAGCAUGCUUAACCCUUGUAUUGUUCAAGGGUCAACGGUAAUUUGAUAACCAAAAGGAAAUCAGGCAAAGAGAGUCAGUUUCUGUUACCACUGAUGCACAUUCAAGCUUCUCACCAGUCAGGUCCCUAGUCUUAUUACACCAUUUGGUAAAAACUUUUCCAAGAGCAACCUACUGCCCUUGGGAGAGUGGGCAGUAAGAUACAACCACUAGUCCUUGGGCAUUACAAGAUUUAUAAAGACUAUACUUAUUUCCCCCCAGUAUUUUAUAGUAUUUUAUAGUAUCUUAUAGUAUUUUCUAUUGCAGGUUUUUUAAAUUCUAAAACUAUGUGCAGAAGAAGGAGCUGUACUGGGAUGUCUGUCACCUCCUACAUAUACAGGAGAAGUCAUCAUAAUGCUUGAGCAGAGGAACCUUAAUAAGCACCCAAUAUAAUGCCUUCAUUUUCCUGAUAUGGACAAUUUGACACCAAGAACUGAGGCACCUUGCCUGGAGACAUGUGAUCAUUGGGAGGAGCUGCAGAAUGAGGCAGAGGCCUUCUACUUCCCAGACCAGUGCUCUUCCUGCUGCACCACACUACCUUCUACUGGAAGAUCACCAUCAGAACCCAUUUUGCUUUUUUCUCAUCUUUUCUCAUAAAUUCAGACUUCUACACUUUCAAUCAUUUUUAUGGUCUUCCAACUAAGCUCUAAAAUUUCGAUAUGGCAUAAGAUAACAGAUCAGAAUGCUAAAAUGCUAAGAUUUCUGAAGCCUGACACAAGAAUCAUUUAGUACUCAAUCCUGCUGCCUACUGCUUGUCAUCCAUCCAUCAAGUCAAAAUGAAUAUGGAGGAACGGAUUUCACAGUCUUGGCAGGACAAAUUUUUUAAAGACUCUGACUGAUUUACAACAU